GUAAUUAUUACCUGUUGAUUUUAUAAUAAAAUGCUACUUAUCAAAUCUAUCAUGUCACUCUUUACAUUAUUAAGAAAAAACAAUUUAUAUGGGCCAAAUUACACCUGGAGACUGAGGAGAAAAAAAAAAUUGUUAUGAUUUGUUUUUAAAUUUAACGACAUUCUGUGUCAAGAAAUCCUGCAAGGAACCUUCAGAUAGUACAAGGAGCUUUACUUCUCACGUACAGAAGGCCGUCCUGCCGUAACUCCGGUUAUCAGUAUCCAUUUGGAAAUGAGGGACAAGGGGAGCCUUUCAAGCGCAGUCAUCUAUUGUUUCCUGGAGCUGAGCAUAUGUGAUGAGAACAGCCUUCGUCAGAACCAUGCAGCAGCCGAAUAGUCUUUGUGUCGCAGGAGUGGAACGCUUGGAUUUUAGUCACCUUCUUUACUUGUAUAAGCCACAGAAACAAAAGCUAA